AUGACGGUCAGGUACCUAGAGAGUUAACAAAUCACAGAUACAAUCAGGAGCCUGACCAUUCAGUGCUUUAAAAACAAGCUGUCUGUGUAGUUUCUCAUUCAUCCAGGUCAUGGUUAUCCAAAGUUGUUUAAAUCAAUCCAAGACAUUCUUCUUCAGCACUGAAGAAGCCUCUUGGAUGAGAGAUGAAACGUCUUCAAGGAACCUUCUUAAAGUCCAGUUGGAUUGAUUUAAACAACUUUGGAUUUAAAAACAAGCAAUAAAAAUUUAAAAUUGAUUCUAAAACUCAUUGGUAGCCACUGAAGAUCAGAGAGGAAUGGGGUAAUAUGGGCACAUCUUUUAAUGUGUGUUAGAAGCCUGGCAGGAGUGUUUUGUACUAGCUGCAGCCUUUGGAUGGUACACUUGCUGAUGCCAGAUUAAAGUGCAUUACAAUAGUCAAGUCUGAAAAAGACGAAGGCAUGAAUAACCGUUUUAAGUCUGCUGAGGAAAAGGUGAGAUGUACCACACAAAGCUACAAAUUUCUCUGUAAAAACCUGAUUUUUAGAUGAAUCAGAAAGACGUCUUAUUUUUAUACAUUCCUGAAAUGGCAGAUACUAGAACCCGGACACUAUUUUAUUUUAUUUUCUACAGAGGCAUUAAUUUAAAUCUUCAACAGAUGAGAUGUUAAUUUCUCUCUACGAAACACAGCAAUAACAAACCAUCAGAUGCUGAAAUCCUACCAGAGAAAUGAUAAGUUCUGUUUUAAGAAAAAAAUUUGAACUGAGCCAUGUUGGUUUUUAAAAAAGCUGGCUUUUCAAAUUGAGACAGAUCAACUGCAACACUGCGGUCACUUGAGUGCCAAGAGACAACUCUGAAUCAAAAAUGACUCCUAGAUUGCUAGCUUGUUUAUGAACAUCUGCGAGGGGACCCAGACUAGAGGAGAGGUUAUUAAUGCUGCUGGUGCAGGGCCCAGAGGAGGUGAUUAUUAACACCUCUUAUUUGGAGUUGUUUAGCUGUAGGACAUUUUUUGACAUCCAUUUCUUGAUGUCCGCAAGGCAAGACAAAAUCUGAGACAGAAUAUAGUUUUAAAAAGGAUCCUAGGAUUAUGACUGUGUUUAGUAAUGAAUGCUGAAAAAUAGAUGUCCUGUGCAUCUUUGACCAUACAUCGAUAACCGCGCAUCAACUCCUUUAGAGAAGCAAGAGAGACAAUGAACUUGUCCUUUUUCCACUUACGUUCAGUUUUCCUAUAUUGUUUCUUUAAGAUCCGAACAUCUUCAUUCAGCCAUAGCAGAGAAGAAGGUUUUUGCUGUUUAUAUCUUACUGGAGUUAUAGAGUCUAGAAUACUUGUACAAGAACUGUUAAAACUGCUGACAAGUUUCUCCACAGAAAUUCCAUGUUGCCCACUGGUAUGGGAGACUGUGUUUGGGUAAAUAAAAGCAUGACAGAAGCGAGGAGCAGAGAGGGCGUUUAGUGGGCGGGAACGAAUCAGAGCUAUGGGAUUAGAUCCAGGAGCUAGAACUGGAUGCUGUGUCGUAGUUUCUCUUAGACCUCAAGGAUGUGCAGAUGUUGAAUAAAACGUCCGUUGACACUGUUGCUUUUACAUAAUAUGAUUUUAUUAUAUAAUAAAGACAGCAUCUGUUCAGGCGCCAUGGAGACUUCAGAGCCAAUGUGAAAAUCCCACUUGAACAAAGGGCUGGUGGUCAUUUUAUACCCUUUGGUGACGUAUGAGGUCACAACAUCUAGUCUCUCUUAGAAAACUUGGUAAAAACAGGAUACAGGAUACCCCCUGUCAACCAGACCCCUCAAUUCUAUAGGGCCAUCCAUCAAUAUCUGGACGGGGGACCCCUGCAUAAACAUUCCCUCAGCCUGUUUACGCAGGGAAAGAGGAAACGUAUGUUUUCCCACAAGUUGCUGGUCAGCUAAUAGAACAGACAGAACAGGUUCCAUUCUAAUAACUUAUCAACUAAUACAUGUCUCAGAUCAGAUACUACAGCUGGAAUAGCACUGCAUUGUGAUCUGAAACAACAAACUCAAACAAGUUUGCAUCAUUCACACAGAGACCAUGGGAGAUCAUAAGAUUAACUGUGUGUCCCUUGUCAUGGCUGGGCUGCUUUACAUGUUGCAUCAAAUUGAAGGAACCUAAAAGUUGCACAAAAUCUGAAACAAAUGAAGUGGAGAAGGGGAAACAAACAUGGAUAUUGAAAUCACCAAGAAUGAGAAUUCUGUUGUAAGUGAUCAUAGUAAUAGACAGAAGGUUACAAAAUUCCUGAAUAAAGCUGGAAGUAAGCUUUGGAAGUCUGUAAAUUACAACACAUAAAAUGGGCAAAUUGGUCUAUAUUACGGUUCUCAAAGGUGGAUAAACAGCCAAGUGAGACUGGACAACAGGUGAAAACCUUCCUGUGUAUAACCACAACCCCCCACCGCAGCCUGUUAUUUAAGGCUGAUGAAAGAAAUAAUCUGGGGGAGAAGCCUCAAUAAGAGGGGCCAAAUAAUUGAGAUUUAACCAAGACUCUGUAACAGCAAAAAAGUUCACAUUGUUGCUAAAAAUAAAAUUCUGACAGAUAAAAGAUUUGUUGCCAAGGGAUCGCUGGAGCAGGAGAGUGCUUCUGCUCCAGUGAAAGUUCAGCAAGAGGAGAGAAAAAGUUGGUGAGUGGGGUAUCAUUAUCACCUAUGUUAAAUGGGUCAUAAAGGGUAAGAGAGACCAUUUUAUUACUUUUGACAGCAGAUGACCAGGAUUUGGGGUGAAGUGAAGUCAGGUCUGAAGCCGGUGACUGGUGUCUGUCCGCGGGCUCCAGACAUGCCAGUCGAACACAGCUCUGUCUGCCAUCGGCAAAGCUCACCAAUGAGUAGCUCGAGUGAACAUAACUUGGUUUUCAACUCAUCCACCUCUGCUGUCAGGGCCAUCAACAAGGUGUUGAGGGCUCUGGAGAGUUAGACCAGGCUUGCUUUUCUUUUUGAAGAAGUCUGUGUCUGACUACUGCUGUUAGCUCACAUGUUUCGGUCUCCGUCCAACUGGUAAGCUACCUAGCUUGAUGAGCUAAUGACUCUGGUUCCGCUGCCGGUUCCUCUCACUUGUCUUUUUUUAAUUCUUUAUUUUACCAGGUAAAAUCAGUUGAGAACAAUGUCUCAUUUACAUUGAUGACCUGGCAAGAGGUCCCAGCAGGAAGAAAGAUAAAGAGGUACUUGUGCAGUUUUUGAUAACUUGCACUCUUUGUCACAGCUCAUUACAUCCAGAGGUUAAUACUGACAUCUUUAGAUCAUCAGCGAAGAUGAGACUGUCCUCAGCUAUCACAGUGUGCUUUCGUAUGUUAUCAGUCAUCCAUCCCUGGAUGGCUUCAGAGUAGCUUGGUGGUUAGCACUGUCAUGUCACAGUUAGAAGAUCCCUGGUUUGCGUCCCGACCUGGGCCUGGGAUCAUUUCACUGGGUGUUCCAGCGUCCUCAUACAGUCCAAAAACAUGCCGAGGUUAACUGGUGAUUCUAAAUUGUCUGUAGGUGUGAAUGUGAAUGUGCUUGUUUAUCUCUCUAUGUAGCCCUGUUGUGGCGAGCAGAGGGGUUGAGAUAGACUAGGGUGCUACAACUACUGGAUGUAGACACCAGCCAAACAACGCCACCCUGGGACUUUCACCCAGGGAAUUGUAACCACUAAGAACGAGAAGGCAACUCAGGUUUGUCCUACUGAUGAGGCAGGAGACGUGAUUCCAGUGAAGGCAAAACAAUACAAAAUUUAUUUAACAGUAGCAAAAAUACUCACUUUAAAACCAAUUUUUAAAAAAACAACCAUUCACACAGGAUUGUUACAUGAAGGGUUUUGGGGACUAUUCAGAGCUGGGGGCUCUCUGGUGGAGGUUUGGGCCAACGGGCGUCACAGGGGAGCCCAGGAGAAAUCACCCUACUCACACGUGAACAUGCACACACCCACACAUACCUGAGUGAAGAAAUAAAAAAAAAACAACCAGGGGAUGAGCAGCAGGAAGGGGUUCCCCCCACCCGAAGACACCAGUCCCCACCACGGGAGGCCUACAGCUUCUGCAAAGCACAAGGGAAGGGAACGUUCAUUAACAGAGUUAUCUUUAAAUCAAUUACCAAUUUAAACAAAAUGAUUACAAACACUGGACAAAACUACUUAACGCAAACAAAAGGAAAGAAAACAAUUUAUUAAAACUGAAACAUUCAAGUAAAUAAUAAACAAAAAAAUACUAACAUACUUAAGCAAAAUCGACUGAUAAUACAAAAACGAUUAAUCAAGGGCAGUCACGUGACAAACAAAUCAUAAAUCACAUGAAGAAAAUAGUACCUAACAGAAACAAAUGGUCACGUGACAGUGUAACUGCCUUAAAUACUCUCAAAAAAAACAGGGACAAGAAAAAAGAAAUUAAACCCUGCUUUCACACAUACACACAACACGUUAAAAUAGCGGCCGGUAGGACAUAGUCAGCGGCAACAGAUGUGAACUGAGGCAGCCCAGUACCCGCAGCACCCACACAAAAGCAGAUAACAAAACCUCAGAAGACAAAGCAGACCGGCGGCUGCAGCAAAGCAGUACAAACGGAGGCAAAGCAGCAGCGUCUCCUGCGUCUGUGACCCGGUGUAGCCGGCACAGCUCCAGAUAAGUGUUGGCCACGCCAAGCGGUGACUCGGUCCAGAAAAAGGGAACAGGAAGCAACCAGCGGCCACAGUUACAGCCUAUAAUGACAAGCUGUUAUACGCAUGCAACAUAAACACAUUACAUGAUAGCAAGCAGAGAGGACCUACCAGUAACGGCCCGCAAGUGGCUCACGGCUCGGACUGGACACAACAGCCUGCGAGUGGCUCACCUCUCAGGCUACGGAUGCGCCACGGUGACUCUACGAGGAUAAUAAUGGGCUACUAUAACCACAACGCACGAAAACAGCCUUAAACCGAGGGCAAACAAUGUAGCAAUUGCUACCAUACCUGUAGGCAAAACUUAAACAGGAAGUGAGGCGAACGGAGAGCGGGGCGUGCCCCUGAUGUCAAAGCAAGAGCCCAGCCUUAUAGUGCAUCCUCCUGCCAUGAUUGGUUAAAGCAAGUCACGGUCAUUAUGUCACAGGAGCAAAACACCAGCCAACCCAAAGCGAGGAUGCAGUACCCCUUCAUUCUGCUACACUGUGAUAGACUGGUGACCUGUCCAGGGUGUCCCCUGCUGUCACUGGAAGUCAGCCCCUCGCUUCCCUAAUGAGGAUUAAGGGGUGUACAGAUAAUGAAUGAAUGGAUGGAUAGUUCAUCCAUCCCAUCCAUCCAUCCAUUGUCUUCCGCUUAUCCAGGUUCGGGUUGCAGAGGCAGCAGAUGAAGCAGGUCAUUCCAGAUGUCCCUCCCCACAGCAACGCUUUCUAGCUCUUCCUGGGGGAUCCGGAGGCGUUCCCAGGCCAGACGAGAUAUAUAAUCCCUCCAGCGAAUUCUGGGUCUGCCCCGGGGUCUCCUCCCAGGCAGAUGUGUUUGGAAAACCUCCUAAGAAAGCCUCCCCGGAUCCAAAUCAGAUGGCCAAACCACCUCAACUGGCUUCUUUGGACGCAAAGGAGCAGUGCCUCCGGGUGUCUGAGCUUCUCACCCUAUCUCUAAGGCUGAGCCCAGCCACCCUGCAGCGGAAGCUCAUUUCAGUCACUUGUAUCUGCGAUCUUGUUCUUUCGGUCACUACCCAGAGCUCAUGACCAUAGGUGAGGAUUGGGACGUAGAUGGACUGGUAAAUUGAGAGGUUCGCAUUGCGACUCAGCUCCCUCUUCACUACGACGGUUCAAUACAACACCUGCAUUACUGUUGAUGCCGCACCAAUCCACUUGUCCAUCUCAUGCUCAAUUUUCCCAUCACUCAUGAACACAAUUCUGAGAUACUUGAACUCCUUUGCUUGGGGAAGCAACUCCCCCCCAACCCAGAGAUUGCAGUUCACCAGUUUCCAGCAAAGAACCAUGGCCUUGGACUUAGAGGCGCUGAUCCACAUCCCCACUGCUUCACACUCGGCUGCAAAUUGCUCCAGUGCGUGCUGAAGAUCACGGUCUGAUGAAGCCAACAGAACCACAUCAUCUGCAAAAAGCAGAGAUGCGAGCCUGAGGUCCCCAAACCGGAUACCCUCCUCACCCCAGCUGCGCCGUGAGAUCCUGUCCAUGAACACCACAAACAAGAUCAGAGACAAGGGGAAGCCCUGGCGGAGUCCAACACCCACCGGAAACAUGUCUGACUUUGUGCCGAGUACGCGGACACAGUUCUCACUUUGGUUGUACAGGGACCGAAUGGCUUGUAUCAGUGAGCCUGGUACCCCAUAUUCCCGCAGUACCCUCCACAGAGCCCUUCAGGGGACACUGUCACAGGCCUUCUACAGAUCCACAAAACACAUGUGAACUGGCAGGUCAAACUCCCAGGAUCCCCUCAGCAGUGCCGCAAGAGGCUGAGAAGUGUGAUACCCCAGUAACUGGAACACACUCUCCAGUUCCCCUUUUUGAAAAUGGGGACUACUUGCCACUCCACAGGCACUGUACACAAUACCCACACGACAUUGUAGAAACAUGUCAGCCAAGACAGUCCAACAAUGUCCAGAGCCUUCAGCAUCUCAGGGCAGAUCUCGUCCACACCGGGCGCCUUGCCACCGAGGAGCUUCUUAGCUUCUUUGGCUACCUUUAGGUUGCCGCCACAACAGGCACUAGUGACCUUCAGGCCACAGCUCCUAACACACACCUCUGCAAUGGAGGCUUUGAACAUGGCCCAGUCAGAUUCCAUGUCCCCAACCUCCCCUGAGAUGCAGGAGAAACUCUUUUGGAGGUGGGAGUUGAAAACCCCACAGACAGGGGCCUCCGCCAGACAUUCCCAGUUCACCCUCACUACACGUUUGGGUUUACCAGGUCUGUCCAGCAGCCUUCUCUGCGAUCGGAUCAAACUUACCACCAUGUGAUGAUCAGUUGACAGCUUUGCACUUCUCUUUACCCGAGUGUCCAAGACACACGGCCGCAGGUCUGAUGAUAUGACUAUGAAGUCGAUCAUCGACCUUUGGCCUAAGGUGCUCUUGUACCAGGUACACUUAUGAGCCACGUUUUGGUCGAACAUGGUGUUUGUUAUAGCCAGUCCAUAACUAGCACAGAAGUCCAAUAACAAAACACCACUCGGGCUCAGAUCAGGCAAGCCAUUCCUCCCAAUCACCUCUCUCCAUGUUUCUCCAUCAUUGCCCACGUGAGCGUUGAAGUCCCCCAGGUGAACUAUGAAGUCCCCAGGCGGUAACCCUUCCAGGACACCACCUAGAGACUCCAAGAAGGCCGAAUACUCUGAACUGCUGUUCAGUGCAUAAACACAAAUGACAGUUUUCCCCUCUGCAAAACAAAGUAGCAGAGAGGCAACCCUCUCAUUCUCUGGGGAGAACUCCAACAAAGCUGCACUCAGCUGGGGGCUCAUGAGUAUCCCCACACCCACCCGGUGCCUCUCACCCAGGGCAAUUCUGGAAAAGGAGAGAGUCCAACCCCUCUCCAGGAUUCUGGUUCCGGAACCCUUGCUGUGCAUGGAGGUGAGCCGGUAUCGCUCACCUCCCACACCAGCUCAGGAUCCUUCCCUGCCAGUGAGAUCUACACCACCAAGGGGCGGUGUGCCUAGAUGCCCACUUCUGCCUACUGCCCGGUGGGCAUAGCACCUGACCCUGAUUUCCUGCCUGGUGAAUGGUGGGCCCACCGGGCGACAACCCCAUGUUCCUUUUUUGGGCGGUGCUCUCUGGGGAACUCCUCCCCCCAGACCUGGCUCCAAGGAGAGGCCCCAGUUUCCCUGAUCCGGGUGAGGUGGCGACUUUCCUUUUCAUGGAUAGUUCAAAAAAAACAAAAAUAUACAUACACACUAUUUCAACCUUUUCACAUCCUGCUCAUCUUCAUCCCUUCAUCCCUGUCAGUAGUGAAUCCCAGCCAUCACUUGCCAUUGUAUACUCAAAAGCUUUGAAAUUUGAAUCGCAAAGGUCUUCAUAUUAUACUAAGAAAAAUAUGAGGUUGACCAGAUUAAUUCUCUGGGAGAUGUUCCUUGAAGUACAACAUCUGUAAUUGGAAAAAAAUGCACCAAAGUUGCACAAUAAAAUCAUAAUGACUGACUUCCUUGUAGGUUUACUGUUUGGCUCUAGGAGGCUUUUUUGUCAGUCUUGGAAUGUUACAUGUGGCUAUGUAAUUUUGUACAUGAAGGUGAAAUGAGGGUUACCCCAUUAAAAUUUCAUGGGGGGUGCUGUUAAACCCUUUUGUCACACCCACACAGUGGACACAUAAGCUGACACAUUUUCACCACUUUUUAUACAAGUGCAAAGUAUGUACAGUUUAAUGAGGGUCCUUACACUGGUUGGUGCUGUGGGGCCUUAAUGGUGCUUUUGCCCAGUGUGCAAAAAGCAAAGCACUGACCCACAAAGUGCUUGGAAAAAUCAGAAGUUAAACUCUUUCGUGUCUGCUUAUCAACCAUUUUAGGUGUACUCUGCAGAUCAGUCUGUCCUGGCAGAAGAAAAGGGCGAAUUUGGUCCAUGUUCUACAUUUCGAAGAGGUACAAUAUUUCAGUGUGAGAAUUGCCACAGUCAAAGAGCAUUUCUUUAGGCUGCCACCAGUAUUUGAACAAGAGGCAAAGCCAAACCGCAACGAUCUCCCAGGUCAGCGUCUUUCUGCUAUGGAAGAACACACAUGGUAAGAUUUGCAUUGAUUUUUACCAACCAAAGAGCGAGUUGCCAGAUUUGACCGUGGCCUCUGGUCAGCAAAGAAAAUAUGAAGAUUUAAUUGUUUUGCAUUAUAAAACUUUGUAAGUAUUUCCAUUGUGUUAAUUUCAAAUAUAUUUUUCUCUUUUAAAGCUGUCACCCAGAUGAUAUUCUUAUCAUUUUUUGUGCAAUGCUGAAUUAACAAUUUCUUUUUAUUUCAUUUUUAAAAAAAAUCUCUGAAUUAAGCUAUUCAAAUCUAUCUUUACAAAGAUAUAAAGAAUAAUCGACAAAAACAACAAAGGCCUGGUUGAUUACUCAGUGUUAGAUGGCAUGGCUAAAUAGUUCAGUGGUAACUCAUUUGUUGUUCAGUGUAACUUAGGCAAAAGGGUAUUGUUUAUCAAAUAUUUCAACAAAGCAAUUUUUUUUGAAAGACUGAAGCAAGGACAAACCAAACAGUACGAACAAGUUUGCCCAACAAUGAUUUUUCGCUUUUUGAUCCUUUGAGUUGAUUUAUCAUUCAACAGUACAUUCAUGCAUAAAAACAACAAAUUUGUUUUUUGUCACAUUGCAAUGGUUUGUAAUCCUUCUUGAAACACCUGAAACCUGCUGUAAUGUGACAAACUCAUCAGUAGUGGCACUUCAGUGAACUAAAAGUUUUAGGCAGACUCCUUUCUAGCUUGCAAAAAAAAAAUAAAAUAAAAAAUAUUAGUGCAACAUUUUGGUGCUAAACCUGCUUCAGGUAAAUGCUUUGGUCCAAUGAGAGAGAGACCAUGUUAAAUAGGGAGUGGCUCUUAUUCCACUGCCAAUCAACAUACUCCACAUGCCAUAAGGAAAUUUGAUAUGUAAAACAUUUGACCAGAUGACAAUUUUCAAUAGUAUAUAGAAUAUCACAUUUAAGAUACUUAUUUUCUUUUGGAUAUGGUCGUCCUUCUCCAAUGCAUCUGCCUCAUGAAAUAGAUGUGCAAGGAGUUCCUUUGCUUUAAUCACUAUUUCUGGUUUAUGCCAUUUGCUCUGUUGUCCAUUCUUUGUAUCCAACCACGACUUACAUUUGAUUCCUUGGAAGAACUGUAUGAUUUCUCUGAUUCAGUUACACAUAGACACCAUAAUCAACUGAAACUUGGACAUUGGAGAUUCAGUGAAUGAGCCUGACCGCUGAUCAAAUCUGAGGUGGCCGUGCAGGUGGCCAAGCUCACAUCAGUGUGGAAGGAAAUGGGGAAGUCAACAAUUGCUUAAAUCACAAACAGCUAGUUUUCAGGUUUCAUUAAUUAAAGCAAUGGAUAAAACCAUCAUGAGUGGUCAAAUGAAAAGCAGCAACAACAAAACAUGUCAGCAAUGCUAGGACAUCAUCGAUAAAUUCAUUCAGUUUCAAUUCAGUUUAAUUUCAAAAAACAUUAUUCGUCCCCUGAGAGAAAUUCAAACCAUGCAGUUUUAAGCAGAAUGAUAGCAACAACUAUAAUAGUAUGAGCAGCCAUGUGGUGGUUAGAAUAUUAGAAAAUUAGGUUAAAAAUAGAACUUGCUGAGAUGAAAAUAAAGUAGAAAAUCAUAUUGACAAUGUGCAUAAGGUGCCAUUAUGAUGAAGAAGUGCAAGGUGAUUUUACAUGAAUUAGCAGCAUGGUUAAAUAAGGAACAGAUGCACUGUAUUUAGGUGUGUGUGUAAUUUAAGUUGCAGGAUGCUUGAACAUAAAUUAUUUCCAAGGAGAAACGUUGUGGGGAAGAUGGCGAAAAACAUGCUGAAAAGAGAGAAUUUCGUGUUUAUUAUAGUCGUCUGUUGGCUCCAUACACCAGUCCAGUAGGUGGCGAAAAUGUUUCUUUCAGCUGGUUUGACAACCGUCAAAAGAAGGCUACAACCCAGACUGUUCUAUACUCAAAACAUCAACUGAGAGACUGGUUCGUUUUUCACAAACACGGAUUUGAUCCGUAAACUGUUGAACAUGUCCAGACUUCAGCGUUCAUCUGUCAGCGGCUAACUGCGACAGUGGAGGAGGUAAUUGGGCACUUCGAGAGAACUUUAACCGAGUACGAAGACGAGACUGAGUGCCGCCAUUGCAAGCUGCUGGCUACGGUCUCAGAUCCUCAGGAAACGAAGCAAAAAAUAGAAGUCCAACAGUUGGUGAUUAAAGAUGAGGUCUCUUCUGAGCAGCAGCAGUGGGCUUGCAGCCUGAAUCAGGAAGACCCAGUCCACCAACAGAUUAAAGCUGAAGAACAGGAUUUCUGGCCCCAUCUGGAGCAUGAGCAGCUACAAAGACUGUCUGAGGAGGAGGUCACCAAUGUCCCUUUCACAACUGACUCUGUGACAAAUACACAUGCUGAAGAGGAAGCGCAGUCCUCACAGCUUCAUCAAAGACAGAUGGAGGAGAACAGAGAGGCAGAGUCUCCGGGCAGUAGCUCAACCCAGCAGUUUAAGACAGAGGACUGUGGAGGAUCACAACCAGGCAGGUUCUUAGUGUCUGGUUUUCAGUAUCUGUCAGGAUCUAAUGAUCAUGGUAAUGAUUUAAAGGAGAUAAGGAAACCUCAGACAGAUUUAAAUAUUAUUAAAACUAAAGUUUCUGUAAAUGA